rnacentral:misc_RNA from 1 species
CUUUUCUUCCCAAGUGAAUCGAGAUUUUUCAUUUCCUUUCAUUUUGAGUUUUUUUGAUCUCCUUGAAAGUAGUACAACUUUCUCCACUGCUUGACAGGAUGAGAUCUAAUUAUUAAUUUAUAUAAAAAAAAAAUGUGCCAGCUUGCUGAAUGCUGCAGUUUCCAACAGAUGGUUCAAGGUUCAUGCUUUUUAUUGGAGUUGAG